AGAUCUCAUAUUUGUGUAAUUUACUUGUAUGUAAUACCUUUGACAGGUGAUAACAAGUUUGCCUCCACCUGAUUCUGGUGCUGAUUUGAGUUACUACCAUCUUGAUGAGCAAUUGGCACUCCUAGCGAAGGUUUUGAAUGCUGGAGAUGAUGCUGUGGGCUUAGAGCAGCUAGAAGAAGAUGCAGAUGACAUAGCACUUCAUAAAGCUCGUCGCUUCAUGGGUUCAAUGAGUGCAAUGUCAGGUGCAAAGGGAAUGGUUUAUAUGGAAUACAGUACUGGACGGAACAAACUCGGCGGGCAGGGCCAAGUUAAGAGUAAACCCAAGGAUCCAUCCAAGCGGCAUUAUCUGUUCAAAAGACGCUAUGGCUAAGAUGACAAAUGAACACCAUAAUGGCUGUUCUUGUGUUCUUUUUACAUACCAAGAGAUGAGUGUGAAGGACCAAAGGUGCUCUCAAACUAGGAUUUUCUUACGGUUUGGUAUGUAUUAAAAAAUUAUGUAUGCUGAUGCUAUACUUGCAAG
rnacentral:misc_RNA from 1 species